GACGAACGCUGGCGGCGUGCCUAAUACAUGCAAGUCGAACGCAGUGGGGACGGGUGAGUAACACGUGGGUAACCUCCCAUCAGAGGGGAUAACACUUGGAAACAGGUGCUAAACCGAUACUGAUGGAUGGACCCGCGGUGCAUUGGCUAGUUGGUGAGGUAACGGCUCACCAAGGCCACGGUGCAUAGCCGAGCCGGAGGGGUGAACGGACAACCUGGGACUGAGACACGGCCCAGACUCCUACGGGAGGCAGGAGUAGGAAAUCUUCGGCCAUGGGGGGAACCCUGACCGGGCAACGCCGCGGGAGUGAAGAAGGUUUUCGGAUCGUAAAGCUCUGUUGUUAAGGAAGCGGUACUUAACCAGAAAGGGACGGCUAACUACGUGCCAGCCGCCGCGGUAAUAC
rnacentral:rRNA from 1 species